rnacentral:misc_RNA from 1 species
GAACGCACCUUGUGCUCCUUGGUAUUCCGAGGAGCAUGCCUGUUUGAGUGUCAUUAAAUUCUCAACCAUUAUCAACUUUUGCUGAUAAUGGCUUGGAUGUGGGGGUCUAUUUUGCUGGCUUCUCAGAUAGUCAGCUCCCCUUAAAUGCAUUAGCCGGUGCCCCGCGUGGACUGUCUAUUGGUGUGAUAAUUAUCUACGCUAUAGACAUCUGCAAUCAUAUGGGUUUGCGCUGCUUCUAACAGUCUGUUGAUUCAGACAAUACAUGACAAUUUGACCUCAAAUCAGGUAGGACUACCCGCUGAACUUAAG